UUUUUUAUGUAAAUAUUUAUUAAUUUGGGUAGUAUUAGAUUUUUCUUUAAACUUAAAGAAUUUGGCGGUGUUUUAAUUCUUUUUAGAGGAAUCUGUUUUUUAAAUCGAUAAUCCGCGAUUUACCUUACUUUUUAUACUUAGUUUGUAUACCGCCGUUGUUUUGAAUAUUUUUUUAGAAUUUGAAAAUUUUCUUUAUUUUUUAUUAAAAUUUAUUUCAGGUCAAGGUGCAGCUUAUUAAUAAAGUGAAGAUGGAUUACAAUUUUGUAUUGAAAUAUGAAUAUUAUUAGUAUGAUUAAUUUGAAGGUGGAUUUAAUAGUAAUUUUAUAUAUAUUAUUAAAGUGAAAUUAGCUAUGAAACAUGU
rnacentral:rRNA from 1 species